AGCUGUUGGAACGUACAAGCAUACAGUUCUUUACCGAAACACCAUCAAAAUACUUUGGAAUCACAAUUGAACUCUACUUGGACAUUAGAUUUGACAUUUAAGUUGUGCCUUUUAACCACCUUUCUUCAAUCAACUACCAAUCGUUUGUUGGAUUACUGGAAUCCAUCCUUUGUCUGAUACUACCAACCUACUUACCUACCUGCUGGAUUUCCAUCUCAUCCAUUGCAAAAAAAGGACGGGUGGUGUGAUUUCAGCGUAAGCCCUUAUACUGCCUGGCUCAGGGCUCGCCCCCAGCUGGACGCUGGAGACGGGUCCUCUGGGACACGGAAGGGCUCUCUGUUCCAAUCCGUAUCGAUCCGUGAUGCUGAUGAAAGAACCCACUGGUCACCUUGAGCCCUGCGUAUCCCGCGGCAGCACUGCAGCCCCCCGUGUCACUUUAGUCAGACCGAGAGGCUCCGGGGCAUAAGAGGUGUGCGUGUGUGUGUGUGUGAGAGAGAGAGGCAGAGGUUAGAUGGUCCGUGAGGAACAAUGAUUCUGUGGUUACUGUUUUAAUAUUGCAUUUUGCAAGAAAAAAACUUCCUUUAUAAAGUUAUAAUUUGCUUCUAAAUGUUAUUAUGUGUUCAUAUCCUAUAACUUUUUCACUUCUGUCCCUCCAGUGAGUUGUUAAACUCUGCUUCGUUUCAUUGAAUGGAUCUUUCAGUCUAGGCUGAAGAGAAAAUUUGUCAUAUGGACUACUUUUAUGAUCUUUUCGUGCUUUUUAAGACUUUUUGAAAUCUCCUGAAAAGAAAUUGUAGAAACAAUUAUUCUACAUUUCUCAUUCUGUCAUCCAAAGAAAAAAUGUGAUUGACAAUAAAUAAGGACAGAAUUUUCA